rnacentral:rRNA from 1 species
UACGAAGGGGGCUAGCGUUGCUCGGAAUUACUGGGCGUAAAGCGCACGUAGGCGGCUUUCUAAGUCGGGGGUGAAAUCCUGGAGCUCAACUCCAGAACUGCCUUCGAUACUGGAAAGCUCGAGUCCGGGGAGAGGUGAGUGGAACUGCGAGUGUAGAGGUGAAAUUCGUAGAUAUUCGGCAAGAACACCAGUGGCGAAGGCGGCUCACUGGCCCGGUACUGACGCUGAGGCACGAAAGCGUGGGGAGCAAACAGG